UCUGUCGCAUCGAUUGGAACGCCUGGCUCGACUUGGAGGAGGCGACGCCUCCGGCCGGAGAGGCGAGAGGCGACGCAGGCGAGAGGCGACGCCUCUUCACAGCAACGAGCAGAGACACUUUUCUCCUCAACCUCACGAACGCUUUUCUCCUCAACGGCUCAACCUCGACUUCACGACGACAACAGAUUAUAAAUGGGUGAUAAGAAUAAUACAUCUGGAG